CGCCACAGCCAUAUCACCCUGCAGCCCAAGACUGAAGCUAAGCAGGGCUGAGCCUGGUCAUACCUUGAUGGGAGACCACAUGGGAAAAACUAACUUGCUGUUGGAA
rnacentral:rRNA from 1 species